UGAUGUGGUUUAAUUCGAUGCAACGCGAAAACCUUACCCACCUUUGACAUGUACGGAACUUUACCAGAGAUGGUUUGGUGCUCGAAAGAGAGCCGUAACACAGGUGCUGCAUGGCUGUCGUCAGCUCGUGUCGUGAGAUGUUGGGUUAAGUCCCGCAACGAGCGCAACCCUUGUCAUUAGUUUGCUACGAAAGGGCACUCUAAUGAGACUGCCGGUGACAAACCGGAGGAAGGUGGGGAUGACGUCAAGUCCUCAUGGCCCUUAUAGGUGGGGCUACACACGUCAUACAAUGGCUGGUACAAAGGGUUGCCAACCCGCGAGGGGGAGCCAAUCCCAUAAAGCCAGUCGUAGUCCGGAUCGCAGUCUGCAACUCGACUGCGUGAAGUCGGAAUCGCUAGUAAUCGUGGAUCAGCAUGUCACGGUGAAUACGUUCCCGGGUCUU
rnacentral:rRNA from 1 species